GCCACUGCUGCUGCUGCUGCUUCGUUGUCUACGGGUAUUCUCAAGGGAAUAGCAUACCAUCUAAGACUGUUAUUGCUUGAGAAUACACGUAGUCAUGACAGCUGCCUCGACAUAAUCACACU
rnacentral:precursor_RNA from 10 species